rnacentral:rRNA from 1 species
UACGGAGGAUCCGAGCGUUAUCCGGAUUUAUUGGGUUUAAAGGGUGCGCAGGCCGACUUUUAAGUCAGCGGUGAAAUUUUCCGGCUCAACCGGGACAUUGCCGUUGAAACUGAUAGUCUUGAGUGUAAAUGAGGUAGGCGGAAUGUGUGGUGUAGCGGUGAAAUGCUUAGAUAUCACACAGAACUCCAAUUGCGAAGGCAGCUUACUGGCAUACAACUGACGCUGAGGCACGAAAGUGUGGGUAUCAAACAGGAUUAGAUACCCCCGUAGU